UUCUCCAGGUACUCCUUGGCCUGGAUCUCCUCCUUGACCAAAGCUUGGGACACCGCCAAAGUGGCCAGCAGAACCACCAGAAACAGUCUCAUAUUGAGUUACAACUUUCUCGCCUGGAAGUUAUUUGUGUCGAGACGAUACUCUCGCGUAAUUGAUAAAAGUGUCUCAUUUUGGAAUGACUCUGGGGUCAGAUCGACACGCUUUAUACUAUAUAUGUAUCUCAAUUGAUCGCAUGUAUUCCUUACAGUUCGCUUGAAUUCACUUCAACUGAACGAGUUUAACAAGAGAUAAGAUUCCCAUUGAUUGGGUUUUCGUAAUGGAUGACAAAUCAAUUUUUAAAAUAUAAAGAUGUACAUAUAAAGUAAA